CAGCAGCCGCGGUAAUACAGAGGAUGCAAGCGUUAUCCGGAAUGAUUGGGCGUAAAGCGUCUGUAGGUGGCUUUUCAAGUCCGCCGUCAAAUCCCAGGGCUCAACCCUGGACAGGCGGUGGAAACUACCAAGCUGGAGUACGGUAGGGGCAGAGGGAAUUUCCAGUGGAGCGGUGAAAUGCGUUGAGAUCGGAAAGAACACCAACGGCGAAGGCACUCUGCUGGGACGACACUGACACUAAGAGACGAAAGCUAGGGGAGCAAAUGGGAUUAGAGACCCCGGUAGUCCCUGUCUCUUAUAC
rnacentral:rRNA from 1 species